GGGUCGAUGACGUAGCUGGUUAUCGCAUCUGUCUAACAUACGCAGGGAAAUAUGUAUACAGAAGGCCCCAGUUCAAAUCUGGGUCGACCCA